UGAACGCGGCGGUGUGCCUAAUACAUGCAAGUCGUACGCACUGGCCCAACUGAUUGAUGGUGCUUGCACCUGAUUGACGAUGGAUCACCAGUGAGUGGCGGACGGGUGAGUAACACGUAGGUAACCUGCCCCGGAGCGGGGGAUAACAUUUGGAAACAGAUGCUAAUACCGCAUAACAACAAAAGCCACAUGGCUUUUGUUUGAAAGAUGGCUUUGGCUAUCACUCUGGGAUGGACCUGCGGUGCAUUAGCUAGUUGGUAAGGUAACGGCUUACCAAGGCGAUGAUGCAUAGCCGAGUUGAGAGACUGAUCGGCCACAAUGGAACUGAGACACGGUCCAUACUCCUACGGGAGGCAGCAGUAGGGAAUCUUCCACAAUGGGCGCAAGCCUGAUGGAGCAACACCGCGUGAGUGAAGAAGGGUUUCGGCUCGUAAAGCUCUGUUGUUGGAGAAGAACGUGCGUGAGAGUAACUGUUCACGCAGUGACGGUAUCCAACCAGAAAGUCACGGCUAACUACGUGCCAGCAGCCGCGGUAAUACGUAGGUGGCAAGCGUUAUCCGGAUUUAUUGGGCGUAAAGCGAGCGCAGGCGGUUGCUUAGGUCUGAUGUGAAAGCCUUCGGCUUAACCGAAGAAGUGCAUCGGAAACCGGGCGACUUGAGUGCAGAAGAGGACAGUGGAACUCCAUGUGUAGCGGUGGAAUGCGUAGAUAUAUGGAAGAACACCAGUGGCGAAGGCGGCUGUCUGGUCUGCAACUGACGCUGAGGCUCGAAAGCAUGGGUAGCGAACAGGAUUAGAUACCCUGGUAGUCCAUGCCGUAAACGAUGAGUGCUAGGUGUUGGAGGGUUUCCGCCCUUCAGUGCCGGAGCUAACGCAUUAAGCACUCCGCCUGGGGAGUACGACCGCAAGGUUGAAACUCAAAGGAAUUGACGGGGGCCCGCACAAGCGGUGGAGCAUGUGGUUUAAUUCGAAGCUACGCGAAGAACCUUACCAGGUCUUGACAUCUUGCGCUAACCUUAGAGAUAAGGCGUUCCCUUCGGGGACGCAAUGACAGGUGGUGCAUGGUCGUCGUCAGCUCGUGUCGUGAGAUGUUGGGUUAAGUCCCGCAACGAGCGCAACCCUUGUUACUAGUUGCCAGCAUUAAGUUGGGCACUCUAGUGAGACUGCCGGUGACAAACCGGAGGAAGGUGGGGGACGACGUCAGAUCAUCAUGCCCCUUAUGACCUGGGCUACACACGUGCUACAAUGGACGGUACAACGAGUCGCAAGCUCGCGAGAGUAAGCUAAUCUCUUAAAGCCGUUCUCAGUUCGGACUGUAGGCUGCAACUCGCCUACACGAAGUCGGAAUCGCUAGUAAUCGCGGAUCAGCAUGCCGCGGGUGAAUACGUUCCCGGGGCCUUGUACACACCGCCCGUC
rnacentral:rRNA from 1 species